GUGAAUUCCAGCUCAUCAAGGUGCUGUACAAGACCAGCCAUACCAGCUGCCAGUGGAAAUCGAUCCUCUCAUAGCCAGCAAUACAGGAAUGCACAGGAGGCAAAUCACUGACCUUUUAGACCAAAGUAUUCAAGUGCAUUCCCAGUGCUUUGUCAUCACUUCAGACAACCGCUAUAUUCUCGUCUGUGGCUUCUGGGAUAAGAGUUUCAGAGUCUAUUCUACAGACACAGGAAGAUUGAUCCAAGUGGUGUUUGGCCAUUGGGAUGUCGUCACUUGCCUUGCUCGUUCUGAGUCAUAUAUUGGGGGAAAUUGCUACAUUCUCUCAGGGUCACGUGAUGCAACUCUUUUGCUGUGGUAUUGGAAUGGAAAAUGCAGUGGGAUUGGAGAUAACCCAGGCAGUGAGACUGCUGCUCCUCGGGCCAUUUUGACAGGCCAUGACUAUGAGGUCACAUGUGCUGCGGUGUGUGCCGAGCUAGGCCUGGUGUUGAGUGGUUCACAAGAAGGACCAUGUCUCAUACAUUCCAUGAAUGGAGACUUGUUGAGGACCUUGGAGGGUCCUGAAAACUGCCUGAAACCAAAACUCAUUCAGGCUUCAAGAGAGGGUCAUUGUGUCAUAUUCUAUGAAAAUGGCCUCUUCUGUACAUUCAGUGUGAAUGGAAAACUCCAGGCCACGAUGGAAACAGAUGAUAACAUAAGAGCCAUCCAGCUGAGCCGAGAUGGGCAGUACCUGCUCACAGGAGGAGACAGAGGAGUGGUCGUGGUCCGGCAGGUGUCGGACCUCAAGCAGCUCUUUGCCUAUCCAGGAUGCGACGCUGGAAUCCGGGCCAUGGCGCUGUCUUACGACCAGAGGUGCAUCAUUUCUGGCAUGGCUUCAGGAAGCAUUGUGCUAUUUUACAACGACUUUAACCGGUGGCAUCAUGAAUACCAAACCCGCUACUGAUGGUGACAGCUGUACAUCAACUCUGCCCCUAGGAUGAGCAGAAGUACCUGAAGCAUCAUUCUCUUCUACCACAUCUGAAUGUAACUUAAAUUUGCUCAAAGAAGCAAAAUAUUUUUUAAAGUUAUUAAUAAUUGCUAUUUUUGUAGUCUUUGCUUGACUUUUUUGGGGGGGAUUAGCAAAGCAGAAAACUGGCUGCUGGGUUCUGUAGUUUUAAAAAAUCUAUAUUUUUAGUCAUAAUGAGAAGUCUAUUUUCACCAAUUAUGGAAACAUACAGUGGAGCAAGUAAACCACUUAUUCCAGCUAUAAUAUUAUGAAGAACAUUUCCCAUGCAUCUACAAGCUUGAGAAAUAGGAUUUUCACAGUGGGGAAGUGGGUUAUAAUAUUGGAAUAGGAAAAUUUGAUGCUGUAAUUUGGGUCCUGUAUUUUUCCAAACAACUGUGCUUCUUCAGCACUAAUAUUUCUGGGAUUUAAAUAGUAAUGUUUAAAUUAUGGUAAAUGUAAUUUAAAACAUCUCAAUUAAUUCUAUCAAUAUUAUUCUUCAAGCAUGUUUUAGACCUAGAAAAGUAUGGUUUGGGGGAGGCUAUUUUAUUGUGUGGUUAGCACAGGAAUCUAAUUUAUAGCAAGUGUGAAAUAGUUUCCAUUUUUUCCUGAUCUGUCAUCUUCAUAGCACAACAAAAUGAAAUGAUGGCAA
rnacentral:sRNA from 1 species